rnacentral:rRNA from 2 species
UCAAAUCCGCUACAUACAUAUUAUGCAAGUCGAACGAGUUCUCGUUGAUGAUCGGUGCUUGCACCGAGAUUCAACAUGGAACGAGUGGCGGACGGGUGAGUAACACGUGGGUAACCUGCCCUUAAGUGGGGGAUAACAUUUGGAAACAGAUGCUAAUACCGCAUAGAUCCAAGAACCGCAUGGUUCUUGGCUGAAAGAUGGCGUAAGCUAUCGCUUUUGGAUGGACCCGCGGCGUAUUAACUAGUUGGUGAGGUAAUGGCUCACCACGGCGAUGAUACGUAUCCUAAAUGAUAGGUUGAACCCCCCACUGAGACUGAAACACGGCCCAAACUCAUACGGGAGGCAGCAGUAGGGAAUCUUCCACAAUGGACGCAAGUCUGAUGGGGCAACGCCGCGUGAGUGAAGAAGGCUUUCGGGUCGUAAAACUCUGUUGUUGGAGAAGAAUGGUCGGCAGAGUAACUGUUGUCGGCGUGACGGUAUCCAACCAGAAAGCCACGGCUAACUACGUGCCAGCAGCCGCGGUAAUACGUAGGUGGCAAGCGUUAUCCGGAUUUAUUGGGCGUAAAGCCAGCGCAGGCGGUUUUUUAAGUCUGAUGUGAAAGACCUCGGCUUAACCGAGGAAGCGCAUCGGAAACUGGGAAACUUGAGUGCAGAAGAGGACAGUGGAACUCCAUGUGUAGCGGUGAAAUGCGUAGAUAUAUGGAAGAACACCAGUGGCGAAGGCGGCUGUCUGGUCUGUAACUGACGCUGAGGCUCGAAAGCAUGGGUAGCGAACAGGAUUAGAUACGCUGGUAGUCCAUGCCGUUAACGAUGAAUGCUAGGUGUUGGAGGGUUUCCGCCCUUCAGUGCCGCAGCUAACGCAUAAGCAUCCGUCCCGGGGAUGCGGCCCCC